UCCACGCCCUAAACGAUGAACACUAGUCGGUCGGGAUGCUAGUCAUCUCGGUGAUGCACUUAACAGAUUAAGUGUUCCGCCUGGGGAGUACGGUCGCAAGAUUAAAAACUCAAAGGAAUAGACGGGGACCCGCACAAGUGGUGGAGCAUGUGGUUUAAUUCGAAGAUACGCGAAGAACCUUACCUGGCCUUGACAUUGAUUGAAUUCCGCAGAGAUGUGGGAGUG
rnacentral:rRNA from 1 species